rnacentral:lncRNA from 1 species
CAUGCACAUAUUUUUUCCUUUGUUGUUUUAUCUUGUUCUUUGUUAUUUUGCUUUUCUUCUUUUAGCCUGCUGGGCUUUGUAGUGUAUAUUCUGUGAAUGAAAUGAAAAGAAGAUUUUGUGUUACCUCGUCCACGCACCGCAUUAGAUUAUAGUCCGUCGAACUUCUUUUGUCUCUUGACUUGUUCGACGUCGACAUGGUUUGAAGAUUCCCAGCCGUUAUCGUGUUGUUUUACUUUUCUUGUCGCCUUUCUUUCUCUUCCCCCUUGUUCAAUCUUGUAUUAGGCUGUCGUUCACCGAACUUCUCUUGUCUUUCAACUUGUUCGGCAUCGGUGUCAUUCGGAGAUGCCCAGUCAUCACCACGUUGAUUUGCUCUUCUUAUCGUCCAUGGCCGUAGGUCGAGCUUGUAGUCUAAACUUCGCAUUACCUUGAAGGAGUCAUUAUUUUCUUGACCCGUGUCGAGAGCCUUCUCAG